ensembl:lncRNA
UUCUGGGUCAGAUUGGGGUUUGUUUUUGCAGUAAAUGCAGCGUUACUGUGUUGUUCCUGUUUAUUGAUCAGUUUAUUGUUGUUGUUGUUGUGCUCAGGUUCUGGCUGCAGCCAUGUUGGACCUCCAGCAGGAGCAGUCCUGGGAUCUGACCCGCUGUCUGUUCAGAGGACCGUCCAGGCUGUCCAUCCUCGCCGAGCCCUCCCUCGGAGACGCCUCCGAGAAGACGGCCCUUCACCCCCCAGGCCAAGAAGCCAGCGAGACCUUCUUCCUCAAGCUGGCCCCCCCACCUUUGUUUGAGGACUAGAAGCUGGGGAUCCACAGAAAGAGGAUCUCCUCACGUCUGCGUCUCAAUUCGGAUGUUUUUCAUGUUUGUUCGUCUGGAUUUAUGCAGUUUUAUUUAACAGAAACUGAAUUAUUUUAAUCUCAUUCCAGGAUUUUUUAAGUGUUUCUCUAGAUUAUGAAAGACUCAUGACAACUCUAUUAAAUCUGAGCUGCUCCUCUCUGCUGUCCUUCAUUUAACUGAACUAAGUGGAAAUUCUGCAGGUAAGAUGAGUGGAAAAACUGGAGGCGUUAAUCCUCAUGAAUCCCAUGAAGAUUUAACUGAAAAUUCUCUUAUUUUUUUUUAAGUUAUUUUUGUCAUUUUUGUUUAGAUUUUUAUCAUGAGUUAAAGAUUUAAUCUAAUGUCAGAAAGGUUUAUUAUUAGAAUCUUCUCUAUGGAAUAUUUUCUCUUCUUCUGCUGCUCAACAGAGUUGAGUUGCUGUUCAGAUGUAAAGAUCUUAAAGUAUAAAACUAUAUUUACAGGCACUGAUGUAAAAGAAAAUAUAAUUCUACACCAGUGUUGUCCUGUUUAAAUUCAAUAGUAAAAACAAAAUAAGAAUGAAGGAACUCUAAAGUUAUCAAUAGUAAAUUUGAUGUUUGAGUUACCGUAUUUUCUGGACUAUAAGGCGCACCUGUAUAUAAGCCGCACCUGCUCAGUUUAAAAAAAAAAGAAAAAAAAAAGAAAUACAAGCCGCACUGGGCUAUAAGCCGCAGAUAUCUAGGUUGAAAAAUAAGAUGAUUACUAUAACUAUUUUGUACUUUUGUACAUGUAUGUUCUUGCUGUCUCCAGCGUCUCACCAUAGAUUUAUUGAUGCUAAGCUUGUGUGCAGCAGUGCGGUUUCCUUCCUAGAUAGCAAGCUUCAUAUCUUUUGACUUAAAAUGUCCACCACACAAACUUCUUUGUGUGAUUUCCACCAUGAAGAAGGAUUUUAAAAAUAAUUACCAGUUAGUAAUUUGUCACGAGUGUUCUAUCAGCUAAAAAAAAAGUAGCGUUGGCUUUUCUGAUUUGCAUUGAUUUUUGUCUAUCUUGUUUUUGAUUCAAAUUCCGGUUACAGCUUCCCUAGCAGAGGAAGAAAAAUCCACAGAAUAGCCGCACCUUUGUAUAAGCCGCAUGAUUCAAAACCUAGGAAAAAAGUAGCGGCUUAUAGUCCAGAAAAUACGGUAAUUUAAUUUUUCAUUUGAGUAAUCUGAUGGAGGAUCUUUUUAACACUGCGUGUGUUUUAUUUUGAAAGGAAGUGGUUUAUGUUGCUAUCAAUAGUAAAACAAAAACUACAUUUUAUAAAUGAAUGGCUUAAUGACCACAAUAAGUAUUUUUCUUAAUUGCUGUUGGUGGGUUGAAGUCUGUAAGAAACUGGACCAAAAGGCUCUUAUGGCAUUAAGUGGGAGGGGCCUCUGGUAACAUGCAAAAUGGCACCAUCAACGAUCUCUUAACCGGAAGCAAAAAUUUCUCAACUUGAGCCAGUUGCAAAAUUUCCUAAACUUUAGGAAACCCUUUCAACAAUGAUCUUUUAAAAACUUUUCAGAACUGUCAGCUUUUAAGCUUUUAAAAGUGAAUAAACUGUAACUAACAGUUUAGUGUAUAGAUGAUCUUCAAAUGGGACAAAGAAAGUUUAACCUUUUAUUUAUUUCAAGUUAAUAUUAACAACUGUU